rnacentral:lncRNA from 1 species
CUCGUGUGUCAUCCACACGUUUCCUGUGGGCUGAGGAGCAGGGGACCUUAGGGGACAGAGCGGAUCUCGGACGGGGGCAGAGAAUGUGGUCGAACACCGAGGCCCCUGGGACAAACGCUUCUGCACAUCCUGCUUCCUUGGGGCCCCACAGGAACAGGGAAGAGGAUGGAUCCCCUACUGAGCACCUUCCUCGACCAGGCUGCGUGGCCUCCUGACAUCGCCCAGGAUUGAGCAGUGUGAUAAGGGAAUGGUGGCUACAAAGGAGAAAGAGACGCCGCUGAAGUCAUUUGGGGAUCGACCUGUUGUGAUGGCCUCAAAUGACAUCCAAGCACCUCAGACGUUCACUCCAGUGCGGAAACAGCAGGUAUGGCAAAGGGUUAACGACUGGCGGGUUAGACUCGGGCCACUUAACUGCGUACAUUUGAAACCUUGCUCAGUAAAAAGUUGCAAGGAAAGGAGAAAAUGAUUAGAAGGCAGGAGAGGCGAUAGGGAGAAAUGAGUUGAUAUUGCUGUGCUAGAGGUGGAACCACAGUUCAGGUGUGGACCCAGGGAAGGUCCCGGGGAAGAGGCAACAUCUGUGCUAAGACCGCAAGAUGACAAAGGGCCAGUCGUGGGAAAAACCAGCAAAGGGAGUAGCAGGUGUCAGGGAGCAGAGUCGGGGACAGGGGCCUUUGGAGCGGGACCUGGUGCGACACGUGCUGGGCCAGGGGUGGGGAGGAGGCCCGGAGAUGGAACAAUGACAGCCAAUGGGAGCAGAGUCCGGAGGCCGAACGGGAGUGAGCAGGCUCCAGGAUUGGCUAUGCCGAGGGCAAGGGGUGGGGCCUGGUGCAGAGAGGGCCGGCAUUGGCCUCUGGCCACUCACCGUGCUUGGGGAGGAGGCGGGCGCCGAAGGGGGAG